GUAACAAGGUUUCCGUAGGUGAACCUGCGGAAGGAUCAUUACUGAUUUGCUUAAUUGCACCACAUGUGUUUUUCUUUGAAACAAACUUGCUUUGGCGGUGGGCCCAGCCUGCCGCCAGAGGUCUAAACUUACAACCAAUUUUUUAUCAACUUGUCACACCAGAUUAUUACUAAUAGUCAAAACUUUCAACAACGGAUCUCUUGGUUCUCGCAUCGAUGAAGAACGCAGCGAAAUGCGAUACGUAAUAUGAAUUGCAGAUAUUCGUGAAUCAUCGAAUCUUUGAACGCACAUUGCGCCCUCUGGUAUUCCGGAGGGCAUGCCUGUUUGAGCGUCGUUUCUCCCUCAAACCGCUGGGUUUGGUGUUGAGCAAUACGACUUGGGUUUGCUUGAAAGACGGUAGUGGUAAGGCGGGAUCGCUUUGACAAUGGCUUAGGUCUAACCAAAAACAUUGCUUGCGGCGGUAACGUCUACCACGUAUAUCUUCAAACUUUGACCUCAAAUCAGGUAGGACUACCCGCUGAACUUAAGCAUAUCAAUAA
rnacentral:misc_RNA from 1 species